CCAGUUCCCACCCAAUCUGGAGACUAGAACACUGCGGCCUGCAGCUAGCCUCCCCUCCCUGAGUCCAGUACAAACCCCGCCCAGACCCGCUGGGGCUGACACCAGGGUGCCAGUCUUGUCUUUUCCAGAGGAUGGCCUGAGAAAGUGGGAGUCGGCUCUGUGCAUGCUGGGAGGAGCUCCCUUUAGCCUUCUUUUCUUCGGGUCGCUGUCCCGCGGACCUUCAGCAUCAAGAUUUGCCACGGCCGCCCGACUUGCGCAGUGCCCGCGCCGUGCCCUCCCUGGGGCCAUGGUGACAAAGCCAAGAUGGGACAUAGAGAAGAAAGCGUCUGGGGGAGGAAACUCGGUUGAGAGCCUCUGGAAGACGGGGGUCCCGACUUACACAUCUCUCCAUCUCCAUGGUGGCUGUCACAAGCUCCCACCCAGGUCUGGCUCAGAAGGAACUUCUGUUGGAUUAAACUGAUGACCAAAGCUGGUGGCAUGUUCAAGUCAUUCCCCCAAGCCUUGAGAGGUGCCUAGCUAGAUCUAUCAGCUGUGAACCCAGCAUCAUACCAACACUUUACAUGAAUUUCCACUGUAAGCAAUGUCACCUGAUGGCGAACGUCUUGAGGAACUGAUCCGAGUCUUACCUACCUUGGAAUCUUGAUUCUUAGCCCAGUGCCUGGUACAAAGAAGGAGCUCAAGAAAUGUUUCUUGGAUUAUAUAGAACUGAAACACAUUUUUCUAUUAAAGGGCCUCUGUCCCUAAACUUAGAUUACAUACCGUUACAAGUAAAAGAGAUUUUAAAAAAAUCAUUUUCUCCUUUGGAGACUGUGCCAUUAGCUCCUUUUUCAAGGUCAGUAAUUCUGAUCUGAUCCCUGUUGUUCACACAAGAAGUGACAACUUGCCUGACACUUCAGAGUCCCUUUCUCUUACCUAGAUUGAUUUUUUAAUUUUAAUUUUUUAAAGCACAGACCCAUCUUUCAUCUAUGCAGGACAAUGUAUCUGGGUUGACAAGAUGUUUUCUCAGUUUCCUCAUCUAAGCAAGCUUUAAUCAGUUUGUUCCUGCCUUGUUCUAGUCCUAAAACAUUUUUUUUUUUUUUUGACCCAGAGUUUAUGGUAGAAAUUUACAUUAGGAAACUUAUCUGCAUCUUUCUGGGAUUUUCAUCUUUAGAUCAUUAGGAUAAGCACCCCCCCACCCCAUUCCUUGGAUGAUAACUUUAUUUCAGAACAUGAUCUUGGGCUGCACGUUCAUUCAUGUGACUACCAACGGAUCCAGAUGAACUUUACUGGAAUGUAAAUACUGUAGCUGGAAGGCAAGAUCAAAACCAUUCCCCGUACAGAAAUGUUAAUCUCUCUAUUGCCAAGGGGGAAACGCAGCAGUCUGACACGUAAGGCGAUGUCAUGCAUUUUUACAUUAAGUGGAAUCUUGUGUCUGUAUCGAAUGGUUGAGUUUGUUUACAAAUGAUAGGUAAAGUCCCAAGGUCCACAGAACCACCUGAUGUUCCUGGCUGAAUGUCAGUCCCACCAGAGAUGUUUGGAGAAAUCACUGUUCUGGCCACAGUAUCAACAAGCACCAUCUGAUAGUAUUUCAUCCGCCUGAACUGGGUCACCAGAGACUAAAUGAAAAGACUACAUUUCCAUUUCCGUGUGUGUGUGUGUGUGUGUGUGUCUGUGUGUGUGUGUGUGUGUGUGAGAUGUGGUGAUGGCCUGGUGGGUCUUGUAGGUUCAUGCAAAACAACGAGAGAAAAGGUUAAGCUUAAUGAACAAAGUGUAACCGAUUAUUAUUAUUAUUUUUUUAAUGAA